GCGCAGUAUAAGGGCUUAUUUAGUAUUAUGGUAGUUGGUUAUGUUAAAAGCUAACCAAGCCUUAGAUGCUUAGCAGGCUUUAACGAGUGAUCUGCCACAACGGGCUUGAAAUAGUGCCUGAACAUUUAUGGCAGCAGUAAAGAAUCUUGGGCAAUGCAUUCAAGUGUGACCCAGCAAGUCUCCGUGGAUGAUGAAGAUAUUAAAUUAUAUUGUAAAAUUCUAUCUUUUUAUAUUUAUAAUGAAAUAUAAAAAGGAAAGCACAGGCUAAAUUCGUGCCAGCAGCCGCGGUAAUACGGAUUGUGCAAGUCUUUGACCUCGUGACUAGGUGUAAAAGGCCACAUAGGAGGUUAUAUAAGUUAUUGAGUAAAUACAGGGUAUAAACCUUGGAAUCUCAAUAAAACUUUAUAACUAGAAUAUAAAAGGGGUUUAAGAUAUCUUCUAAGUAAAGGUGAAAUUUGUAGAAAUAGAAGGGAU
rnacentral:rRNA from 1 species